GAUGAACGCUAGCGGCAGGCUUAAUACAUGCAAGUCAAGGGGGUAGCAAUACAACCGGCGCACGGGUGAGUAACGCGUACACAACAUACCAUAUACUGGAGUAUAGCUUUGGGAAACUGAAGGUAAUCCUCCAUAACAUUGCGAGAGGGCAUCUGAUUGCAAUUAAAGUUUCGGCGGUAUAUGAUUGGUGUGCGUUUGAUUAGCUAGUUGGUAGGGUAACGGCCUACCAAGGCGACGAUCAAUAGCUGGCGUGAGAGCGCGACCAGCCACACUGGAACUGAGACACGGUCCAGACUCCUACGGGAGGCAGCAGUAGGGAAGU
rnacentral:rRNA from 1 species